AACGAACGCUGGCGGCAGGCCUAACACAUGCAAGUCGAACGCGCGUAGCAAUACGCGAGUGGCGCACGGGUGAGUAACACGUGGGAAUCUACCCAGAGGUUCGGAAUAACCGCGGGAAACUGCGGCUAAUACCGGAUAUCCCCUACGGGGGAAAGAUUUAUCGCCUUUGGACGAGCCCGCGUCCGAUUAGCUAGUUGGUGAGGUAAUGGCUCACCAAGGCUACGAUCGGUAGCUGGUCUGAGAGGACGACCAGCCACACUGGAACUGAGACACGGUCCAGACUCCUACGGGAGGCAGCAGUGGGGAAUAUUGGGCAAUGGAGGCAACUCUGACCCAGCCAUGCCGCGUGGGUGACGAAGGUCUUC
rnacentral:rRNA from 1 species